UUUUCUCCGUGGAAGUAAGUAGGUUGUUUUUUUGUUUAUUGUUGGCUCACUUUUACUCACGAUAUGCGAACCGGCAACAUAGGAUUCCAUUCACUAAGCUAAGCUAAGCUAGCGGCGGCGCUGCCGGACUAAGACAAUGCAUGCAC